GGGAUAGCCCAGGGAAACCUGGAUUAAUACCGGAUGAGACGGGACCCGCGAUGGCGGGAUCCGGGAAAGGCGCGUGCGGCGCCGCCGGGGGGAUGAGUCUGCGUACCCAUUAGCUAGACGGCGGGGUAACGGCCCACCGUGGCGACGAUGGGUAGCCGGCCUGAGAGGGUGGACGGCCACAUUGGAACUGAGACACGGUCCAGACUCCUACGGGAGGCAGCAGCUAAGAAUCUUCCGCAAUGGGCGAAAGCCUGACGGAGCCGACGCCGCGUGAACGAAGAAGGCCGUGAGGUUGUAAAGUUCUUUCGGGAGGGGAACAACCGUGGCAGGGAAUGGCCGCGGGAUGACGUGAAUCCCGGAAUAAGCCCCGGCUAACUACGUGCCAGCAGCGGC
rnacentral:rRNA from 1 species